CUCACACAGUUGUGGAAGUUUGGUAAAUUCCAAAUUUUCAGAGCAGGCCAGCAGGCUGCAGAUCCAGAGAAUAAUUGUGGUUGGAGUCCAAAGAUGGACUUUCACCUUAGAUUUGGCAAAAGGGAUUCUGGAGGUUCCAGGUUUGUAUCUCACUAACUAAAUACUCUGAAGAAAGUGAACUCCAUUUUCUUGAUCAUUUCAGCACAAAUCUUUGGACUGAUUAGGUUUGCAUGUCCAUUAUCCACACAAGCACUCUUAUUAAAGAAGGGACUGUGUGGAUUUUUGUAGCUAGCAAAAGAAAUUUCUUUUUUCUCAAAGCAAAAUCAGGCUGUGAUUACUACGGAAGAAUGAGUGCUGGAAGACAAAAUCAACAAAGGUAGAUUAGUCAUAUCCUCCUGAAUUUCUGGAGAACAUACAUUAUUUCUUAUUCUUCUAUGAAUCCUGCACCUACGCUGAGUGGUUAGCAAAGGGUAAUAGUCUUAC
rnacentral:lncRNA from 1 species